rnacentral:rRNA from 1 species
UACGGGGGGGCAAGCGUUGUUCGGAAUUACUGGGCGUAAAGGGCUCGUAGGCGGCCAACUAAGUCAGACGUGAAAUCCCCGGGCUCAACCCGGGAACUGCGUCCGAUACUGGAAGGCUUGAAUCCGGGAGAGGGAUGCGGAAUUCCAGGUGUAGCGGUGAAAUGCGUAGAUAUCUGGAGGAACACCGGUGGCGAAGGCGGCAUCCUGGACCGGCAUUGACGCUGAGGCGCGAAAGCCAGGGGAGCAAACGGG